rnacentral:rRNA from 1 species
CGGCCGCGGUAUUUUGACCGUGCAAAGGUAGCGCAAUCACUUGUCUUUUAAAUAGAGACCUGUAUGAAUGGCUAAACGAGGGCUUAACUGUCUCCCCUUUCAAGUCAGUGAAAUUGAUCUACCCGUGCAGAAGCGGGUAUAAUAAUACAAGACGAGAAGACCCUUUGGAGCUUAAGGUACAAAACUCAACCACGUCAAACAACUCAAUAAAAAGCAAAAACUUUGUGGAAUGUGAUAUUUUACCUUCGGUUGGGGCGACCACGGAGGAAAGAAGAGCCUCCAAGUGGACUGGGAUAAACCUCCUAAAACCAAGAGAGACAUCUCUAAGCCAUAGAACAUCUAACCAAACAUGAUCCGGCCAAAUAAGCCGAUCAACGAACCAAGUUACCCUAGGGAUAACAGCGCAAUCCUCUCCCAGAGUCCAUAUCGACGAGAGGGUUUACGACCUCGAUGUUGGAUCAGGACAUCCUAAUGGUGCAGCCGCUAUUAAGGGUU